AUAAAAGGCAUCUUUUCAUUCAUAUUGUUUAUGUAUCUAUGAAUCGUCCAAGAAAUUAAUAAGAUGAUGAUACAUAUUCUCAAGAGUUGAGAAUUUGAGCCAUGUAUCAUUGGUGAUUAAUUUCUAAAUGUUCCUGAUCAAUGGAUCAUCACGAGGACGGUGAUCGAUCCGAUCAGUGCACAGAUCACUUUCCUUCUGGAUGGACGAGACUUGAGUCCACAGUGUAGGGACACUGAAGUGAUAGUGCAGGUGCUUGUCAGAGAAUAAGGGUACUGAGCGUGACCAAGACAAGAAGUCACUUGGAUGUCUAUCCACUCGUCAGUGACUUGCUUGAUGUUGCAGUAGUGUGACUGGUCCUUUGACCU
rnacentral:lncRNA from 1 species